rnacentral:rRNA from 1 species
GGACGAACGCUGGCGGCGUGCUUAACACAUGCAAGUCGAACGGUGAAGCGCCUUCCUUUUUGGUGGGUGUGGAUGAGUGGCGAACGGGUGAGUAACACGUGAGUAACCUGCCCCCUUCUUCUGGAUAACCGCAUGAAAGUGUGGCUAAUACGGGAUAUUCUGGGUCUGUCGCAUGAUGGGUCUGGGAAAGAUAUUGUUUCGGUGGGGGAUGGGCUCGCGGCCUAUCAGCUUGUUGGUGGGGUGAUGGCCUACCAAGGCGGUGACGGGUAGCCGGCCUGAGGGGGUGGACGGUCACACUGGGACUGAGACACGGCCCAGACUCCUACGGGAGGCAGCAGUGGGGAAUAUUGCACAAUGGGCGCAAGCCUGAUGCAGCGACGCCGCGUGAGGGAUGGAGGCCUUCGGGUUGUGAACCUCUUUCGCCAGUGAAGCAGGCCUGCCUCGUUUGUGGGUGGGUUGACGGUAGCUGGAUAAGAAGCGCCGGCUAACUACGUG